rnacentral:rRNA from 1 species
GGAAACAGUUGCUAAGACUGGAUAGGAAAUUAGAAGGCAUCUUUUAAUUUUUAAAAGACCUUUUUCGAAAGGUAUACUUAAAGAGGGGCUUGCGGCACAUUAGUUAGUUGGUAGGGUAAAAGCCUACCAAGACCAUGAUGUGUAGCUGGACUGAGAGGUUGAACAGCCACAUUGGGACUGAGACACGGCCCAAACUCCUACGGGAGGCAGCAGUAGGGAAUUUUCGGCAAUGGAGGAAACUCUGACCGAGCAACGCCGCGUGAACGAUGAAGUAUUUCGGUAUGUAAAGUUCUUUUAUUGAAGAAGAAAAAAUAGUGGAAAAACUAUCUUGACGAUAUUCAAUGAAUAAGCCCCGGCAAACUAUGUGCCAGCAGCCGCGGUAAUACAUAGGGGGCGAGCGUUAUCCGGAAUUAUUGGGCGUAAAGGGUGCGUAGGCGGUUUGGUAAGUCUAUAGUUUAAUUUCAGUGCUUAACACUGUUCUGCUAUAGAAACUAUCAGACUAGAGUGAGAUAGAGGCAAGUGGAAUUCCAUGUGUAGCGGUAAAAUGCGUAAAUAUAUGGAGGAACACCAGAGGCGUAGGCGGCUUGCUGGGUCUUUACUGACGCUGAGGCACGAAAGCGUGGGGAGCAAACAGGAUUAGAUACCCUGGUAGUCCACGCCGUAAACGAUGAGUACUAAGUGUCGGGGAAACUCGGUACUGAAGUUAACACAUUAAGUACUCCGCCUGAGUAGUACGUACGCAAGUAUGAAACUUAAAGGAAUUGACGGGACUCCGCACAAGCGGUGGAUCAUGUUGUUUAAUUCGAAGAUACACGAAAAACCUUACCAGGUCUUGACAUACUCUGCAAAGCUAUAGCAAUAUAGUGGAGGUUAUCAGGGAUACAGGUGGUGCAUGGUUGUCGUCAGCUCGUGUCGUGAGAUGUUAGGUUAAGUCCUAAAACGAGCGCAACCCUUGUCACUAGUUGCCAGCAUGUUAUGAUGGGCACUUUAGUGAGACUGCCAAUGAAAAAUUGGAGGAAGGUGAGGAUCACGUCAAAUCAUCAUGCCCCUUAUGAUCUGGGCUACAAACGUGAUACAAUGGCUGUUACAAAGAGUAGCUAAAACGCGAGUUUAUAGCCAAUCUCAUAAAAGCAGUCUCAGUUCGGAUUGAAGUCUGCAACUCGACUUCAUGAAGUUGGAAUCGCUAGUAAUCGCGAAUCAGCAUGUCGCGGUGAAUACGUUCACGGGGUUUGUACACACCGCCCGUC